UCCGCGGUAGCUCAAUGGUAGAGCAUCCGACUGUUAAUCGGCAGGUUGCUGGUUCGAGUCCAGCCCGCGGAGCCA
rnacentral:tRNA from 1 species